ensembl:lncRNA
AAACAUAUGCUUUGUUCUCUAUAAUUAUCAUAAAUUUCUGACACUUCUGUUUGUUGUCUUCAAAAAACAGCCUCUUGCCUACAGCACGUUUUUGAGACAGCCAAGCCCUGUAUACUCAGAGUCCUACACCAACUCGCCUCCAGACAGAUACAGGAAUGACUUCCAGUUUGUUCUUGGUAGCCCACAAGCUUCCCAACACAAGACAACAGAAAUACCCUUGGUGUACCUCAAUAAGGGCCAGUUUUACCCCAUCACUCUGCAGGGAGUGGACAGCACUGCUGGGGUGUCAUGCAGCAAAGUAAAAGUAAGUUCAGAAAUAAUGGAAAUGUAUUCUUGCCAUAUAACAUGUUAGUUCUAAGUAACCUGCUCCAAAGAGAAAGAGUGAUUAGUUAUUUAGGCAUCGUUUAAAAAAGUUUGACAUUUUGUCAUUCAUUUACCAUGGCGUGCAACACCAAAGAAGCUUUGGGGGAAGUUUCCUAAAACUUCCAAACUCAUAAGCCCUUGCAUAUUCUAGGUGUGACAGAUUGGCUGUUUUGUUAAAGCAUACACUGCUAUGGUCAGUGACAAAGUAAAGAGAAAGGGUAUUAGUGUGGUGACAUACAACAUCGCUUGGUAAACGACAAAAAGACUAGCAUUUGUUCUACAGGGAGUCACCACUCUCUAAAAAUAACAAAGUAACAGGUUCUAAUUAUGCUCCUUUUUCUUUCGUUCUCUCUCAGACGAUGAUCAUGGCUGUGUUCGAGAAUGACAAGAGUCCUGAGAUGC